UGGCCCAGGGAGGUCGGCAGCGCCCACCCAGGGCCGGAAAGUUCGUCAAACUUGGUCAUUUAGAGGAAGUAAAAGUCGUAACAAGGUCUCCGUAGGUGAACCUGCGGAGGGAUCAUUACUGAGUGAGGGCGCAAGCCCGACCUCCAACCCCAUGUUUUCUAACCAUGUUGCCUCGGGGGCGACCCGGCCAUCGCGCCGGGGCCCCCGGUGGACCCCUCCAACUCUGCAUCUUUGCGUCUGAGUCACAAAAUAAAAUCAAUCAAAACUUUCAACAACGGAUCUCUUGGUUCUGGCAUCGAUGAAGAACGCAGCGAAAUGCGAUAAGUAAUGUGAAUUGCAGAAUUCAGUGAAUCAUCGAAUCUUUGAACGCACAUUGCGCCCUCUGGUAUUCCGGAGGGCAUGCCUGUUCGAGCGUCAUUACACCACUCCAGCCUCGCUGGGUAUUGGGCGCCGCGGCCUCCGCGCGCCUUAAUGUCUCCGGCCGAGCCGACCGUCUCCAAGCGUUGUGGCACAACUGUUUCGCUUUCGGGACCGGUCCGGCGACGCGCCGUUAAACCCUUUCACCAAAGGUUGACCUCGGAUCAGGUAGGGAUACCCGCUGAACUUAAGCAUAUCAAUAAGCGGAGGAAAAGAAACCAACAGGGAUUGCCCUAGUAACGGCGAGUGAAGCGGCAACAGCUCAAAUUUGAAAUCUGGCGCAAGCCCGAGUUGUAAUUUGUAGAGGAUGCUUCAGGGCAGCGGCCGGUCUAAGUUCCU
rnacentral:rRNA from 1 species